AGCAUAUGUCAUAUUCAUCCAUAAUAAUUUUUUAAAAUAUAUUUCUAGGUCCCUAAACUUUGUGGUAAACUGCAGGAUAUUUUUUUGAUGAUGUGGCGUGUUAGCAUGGCAUAUAUUUUUUUAUUUUACUCCUCAAACAUUUUUUUCUCAUAAAAAACAGAACCUAGCAGCUGAGCACGAAGACAUCGGAGCAGGCUUUCAAGCAGCUGAUUGAGCAGCAUGACGGCAAGGCCGCACACCUACCAUGUUGCACACCGGCC
rnacentral:lncRNA from 1 species